rnacentral:rRNA from 1 species
AACGAACGCUGGCGGCGUGCUUAACACAUGCAAGUCGAACGUGAAAGGCUUCGGCCGAGUAAAGUGGCGCACGGGUGAGUAACGCGUGGGUAAUCUGCCCUUGGGCGGGGGAUAACCUCUCGAAAGGGGGGCUAAUACCGCAUGAGACCACGGCUUUUCGGGGCUGUGGGAAAAGGUGGGUCGCAAGGCCUGCCACCUGAGGAUGAGCCCGCGUACCAUUAGGUUGUUGGUGGGGUAAUGGCCUACCAAGCCGAAGAUGGUUAGCUGGUCUGAGAGGACGAUCAGCCACACUGGGACUGAGACACGGCCCAGACUCCUACGGGAGGCAGCAGUGGGGAAUAUUGCGCAAUGGGGGAAACCCCUGACGCAGCAACG